UCCGCCCAUCCUCGUUGUCUUCACAAACACAGAAGCAGAACCACAUACCAGAGAUGCAAGAUGUAGCCCUAGCCUUCCCCCGUGCCCUUGAGUUCUCGCGUCUACCCUUUGCCACAUUUGCCAUGAAGUUCCGUCGUCAAUGUAGAUUUCUUCACCGUCAAUCGAGAUUUCUGUCCUCCGCUGUUGAACGAGUUCUCGCUCUGCCUCUGAUUCCCGUCGCUCAUGGAUAGCCUCUAAUUCACCUCUAUCUCUGAUUCGUGUUGCUCAUAGGUAAAGCCUUUUCUGCUAUGCCUUUUCUCGUGGUUCUUAUAUGUUUACAACUUCAUCAUAUUGCUUGAGCUGUUGUUUGGUUUUUGAUUCAGCAACUAAUUUCAAUGUUUAUAGUUGAACUGAUAUAAACAUGGUUCUGAUUCUGAGGGUUUUGCAAAAUUAAGAAUUAAGAAUGGAGUGUGAAGUAGAAGCAGUGUUGAGAAGAAGACAAGGAUGAUGGAAAGAUGAGAAGCAGAAUUUAGUUUCUCGAAAUUACAGAGUUUUGUGAAUGUUCUGUUAAUAUGUGUUGCUCUGUUCGUUCAUUUUUAAAUUGAGAAGAGAAAUCUGAAGCUGGAAGUUAGUCAUUUGGAAAAGGCUAAGGAACUUUAUACCAAAUGUCAUAUGGAGCUACAUACCUUGCCUUUUAUUUGAUAUUUGCUAUAUGUGAGAUGAGGCAACAAUUGGGAGAUCACAGAGGCGUGGGCCUAAAGGCAGCUUCAUAGGUCAGCCAUAAAGUUAAAUAAGCAUUAAGUCAAUCACAAGCAUGUUUAUGCGGAGUUGACUAGAGUGGAAGGGUGCUCUGCCAAUUUAUCAUGAAAGGGAAUUGCUGAGGGAGGAGCCAAGCGACUUAUUGAAGCUUUCCUCAGACAAAACUCUAGUGGAGGAAAUUGAAGUGUAACAGUGCAGCAAAAACAUAAAGAAGGUGGUUCUAACUAAAGAGAUUUUAAUGAAGACCUCCAACAAAAUAGUUGAAGAGAUAUAAAUGAGGGUUUCCAUUUACUUUGAUAUACAGACUUGCUUUCAAUGUAAUGUAGUGCUAUUGUCAUACUUACAUUAUUAUAUAUAUCCAUUUGAUCAAACCAAAUUCUCUUUA